UCUCCGUUGGUGAACCAGCGGAGGGAUCAUUACAGGACUCGCAAGACUCCUUCACCCUGUGAACCUCACUACAAGCACGUUGCUUCGGCGGGUAUCCCGGCGGGGGUUUUCCCUCGCCGGGGCGCACAGCCCGCCGGCAGCCUACUAUACUCUGUCUCUUUGCGUUGGCAUCUCGAGAAAAAACAAACAAGUUAAAACUUUCAACAACGGAUCUCUUGGUUCUG
rnacentral:misc_RNA from 1 species